UUGCACGCUGGCGGCAUGCUUUACGCAUGCAAGUCGAACGGUAACAGGCCGCAAGGUGCUGACGAGUGGCGAACGGGUGAGUAAUGCAUCGGAACGUGCCCAGUCGUGGGGGAUAACUACUCGAAAGAGUAGCUAAUACCGCAUACGAUCUAUGGAUGAAAGCGGGGGACCGUAAGGCCUCGCGCGAUUGGAGCGGCCGAUGUCAGAUUAGGUAGUUGGUGGGGUAAAGGCCCACCAAGCCAACGAUCUGUAGCUGGUCUGAGAGGACGACCAGCCACACUGGGACUGAGACACGGCCCAGACUCCUACGGGAGGCAGCAGUGGGGAAUUUUGGACAAUGGGCGCAAGCCUGAUCCAGCAAUGCCGCGUGCAGGAAGAAGGCCUUCGGGUUGUAAACUGCUUUUGUACGGAACGAAACGGCUCUGGUUAAUACCCGGGGCUAAUGACGGUACCGUAAGAAUAAGCACCGGCUAACUACGUG
rnacentral:rRNA from 1 species